rnacentral:misc_RNA from 1 species
UCCGUGGUAACACCACGGCAGUCCCUGGUGACACUCAUAACACCAGGCAAGGGUUGCGCUCGUUGCGGGACUUAACCCAACAUCUCACGACACGAGCUGACGACAGCCACGCAGCACCGGUGCACCACCCUCGAAGGCUGCUGCGUUUCCGCAGCAUGCAGGUGCAUGUCAAAUCUAGGUAAGGUUCUUCGUGUUGCGUCGAAUUAAACCACACGCUCCGCUGCUUGUGCGGGCCCCCGUCAAUUCCUUUGAGUUUUAAUCUUGCGGCCGUACUCCCCAGGCGGAAUGCUUAAAGCGUUAGCUGCGCCACUGACGAGCAAGCUCGCCAACGGCUGGCAUUCAUCGUUUACGGCGUGGACUAC